rnacentral:tRNA from 1 species
AAUCUUAUUUCGUUUGGCCGUUGGCUUUAUUGACCGUGAGGGUUCAAGUCCCUCUACCCCCAA